rnacentral:rRNA from 2 species
ACUUAAAUUGAAGAGUUUGAUCAUGGCUCAGAUUGAACGCUGGCGGCAGGCCUAACACAUGCAAGUCGAACGGUAGCACAGAGAGCUUGCUCUCGGGUGACGAGUGGCGGACGGGUGAGUAAUGUCUGGGAAACUGCCUGAUGGAGGGGGAUAACUACUGGAAACGGUGGCUAAUACCGCAUAACGUCGCAAGACCAAAGAGGGGGACCUUCGGGCCUCUUGCC